rnacentral:rRNA from 1 species
GAUGAACGCUGGCGGCGUGCCUAAUACAUGCAAGUCGAGCGAACGGACGAGAAGCUUGCUUCUCUGAUGUUAGCGGCGGACGGGUGAGUAACACGUGGAUAACCUACCUAUAAGACUGGGAUAACUUCGGGAAACCGUAGCUAAUACCGGAUAAUAUUUUGAACCGCAUGGUUCAAAAGUGAAAGACGGUCUUGCUGUCACUUAUAGAUGGAUCCGCGCUGCAUUAGCUAGUUGGUAAGGUAACGGCCUACCAAGGCAACGAUGCAUAGCCGACCUGAGAGGGUGAUCGGCCACACUGGAACUGGGACACGGUCCAGACUCCUACGGGAGGCAGCAGUAGGGAAUCUUCCGCAAUGGGCGAAAGCCUGACGGAGCAACGCCGCGUGAGUGAUGAAGGUCUUCGGAUCGUAAAACUCUGUUAUUAGGGAAGAACAUAUGUGUAAGUAACUGUGCACAUCUUGACGGUACCUAAUCAGAAAGCCACGGCUAACUACGUG